rnacentral:tRNA from 1 species
GCCCUGGUAGUAUAGUCCGGUCUAGUAUAGGCGGCUGUCGCCCGCCCGACCCGGGUUCAAAUCCCGGCCAGGGCGCCA